CACCUCCCACCGCUUUGCCCAAAUUAUUUUCGAUCCCGGGAGACUCCGGAUGCCAGACGCGCUCGGCGGCGGCGGCGGCCGUGCCUGAUUCAUUGCGCCAAAGCUGCAGAUGCGACCUCCCGCCUGCGCCCCGUGCCCCGGCCCGCUCUGGGCUGGGCGCGCGCCUUAGAGAGUGCACGGUCACCAUGGCAACCGCGGAGGAGGUCACGGUAGCUGGGCCCCCGCGCGUCACCCCGCGCCUCGCCGGCUGCAGGCGCCCGGAUUGCGGCCUCCCAGGCGCCGUGGCCCUCGUGGACUCAGCGCCGUUCUCCGCCCCCGCUCCGCCCUGCCCGCAGCUCAGGCCCCCUCCACAGGACUCUGCCGAGUCCCAACCGGGAAUGUAGCACCUGGGCGCCAGUGCGCUCAACUAUGCUCGGGCCAUCCCUCCCACCACCCCCACCCUCCGCUUUGGCACGCGGGACUGCACCAUGAAACACGUGCCCAACACCAAGAUAGGAACAUGUGCCUCUCUUGCCGAGGGGCUCACCGCUCUUAAGGAUGCCCUGGGGAAUCGACCUAUAUUUGGUGCACAACUCCGCUGUCCUUGCCAAAACAGACCUCCGGUAUAGCUAAAAGGGCCAGAUGUAGCAGCAGAGCCUAGCUCUGCCUAG